rnacentral:rRNA from 1 species
AGAAGUGAGAAUGCCGGUGUGAGUAGCGAAAGACGGGUGAGAAUCCCGUCCACCGAUUGACUAAGGUUUCCAGAGGAAGGCUCGUCCGCUCUGGGUUAGUCGGGUCCUAAGCUGAGGCCGACAGGCGUAGGCGAUGGAUAACAGGUUGAUAUUCCUGUACCACCUAUAAUCGUUUUAAUCGAUGGGGGGACGCAGUAGGAUAGGCGAAGCGUGCGAUUGGAUUGCACGUCUAAGCAGUAAGGCUGAGUAUUAGGCAAAUCCGGUACUCGUUAAGGCUGAGCUGUGAUGGGGAGAAGACAUUGUGUCUUCGAGUCGUUGAUUUCACACUGCCGAGAAAAGCCUCUAGAUAGAAAAUAGGUGCCCGUACCGCAAACCGACACAGGUAGUCAAGAUGAGAAUUCUAAGGUGAGCGAGCGAACUCUCGUUAAGGAACUCGGCAAAAUGACCCCGUAACUUCGGGAGAAGGGGUGCUCUUUAGGGUUAACGCCCAGAAGAGCCGCAGUGAAUAGGCCCAAGCGACUGUUUAUCAAAAACACAGGUCUCUGCUAAACCGUAAGGUGAUGUAUAGGGGCUGACGCCUGCCCGGUGCUGGAAGGUUAAGAGGAGUGGUUAGCUUCUGCGAAGCUACGAAUCGAAGCCCCAGUAAACGGCGGCCGUAACUAUAACGGUCCUAAGGUAGCGAAAUUCCUUGUCGGGUAAGUUCCGACCCGCACGAAAGGCGUAACGAUUUGGGCACUGUCUCAACGAGAGACUCGGUGAAAUCAUAGUACCUGUGAAGAUGCAGGUUACCCGCGACAGGACGGAAAGACCCCGUGGAGCUUUACUGUAGCCUGAUAUUGAAAUUCGGCACAGCUUGUACAGGAUAGGUAGGAGCCUUUGAAACGUGAGCGCUAGCUUACGUGGAGGCGCUGGUGGGAUACUACCCUAGCUG